GAUGAACGCUGGCGGCGUGCUUAACACAUGCAAGUCGAACGGAAAGGCCCAAGCUUGCUUGGGUACUCGAGUGGCGAACGGGUGAGUAACACGUGGGUGAUCUGCCCUGCACUUCGGGAUAAGCCUGGGAAACUGGGUCUAAUACCGGAUAGGACGAUGGUUUGGAUGCCAUUGUGGAAAGUUUUUUCGGUGUGGGAUGAGCUCGCGGCCUAUCAGCUUGUUGGUGGGGUAAUGGCCUACCAAGGCGUCGACGGGUAGCCGGCCUGAGAGGGUGUACGGCCACAUUGGGCCUGGGAUACGGCCCAGACUCCUACGGGAGGCAGGAGUGGGGAAUAUUGCACAAUGGGCGCAAGCCUGAUGCAGCGACGCCGCGUGGGGGAUGACGGCCUUCGGGUUGUAAACUCCUUUCGCUAGGGACGAAGCGUUUUUGUGACGGUACCUGGAGAAGAAGCACCGGCUAACUACGUG
rnacentral:rRNA from 1 species